rnacentral:rRNA from 1 species
UUGCCAGACUCCUACGGGAGGCAGCAGUGAGGAAUAUUGGUCAAUGGGCGGGAGCCUGAACCAGCCAAGUCGCGUGAGGGACGACGGUCCUAUGGCUUGUAAACCUCUUUUGUCGGGGAACACAGGCGCCCACGGGUGGGCGGAUGAGUGUACCCGAAGAAAAAGCAUCGGCUAACUCCGUGCCAGCAGCCGCGGUAAUACGGGGGAUGCAAGCGUUAUCCGGAUUUAUUGGGUUUAAAGGGUGCGUAGGCUGUGAGGUAAGUCAGCGGUGAAAGGCCCCCGCUCAACGGGGUGAAGUGCCAUUGAUACUGCCUUGCUGGAAUGCGGAUGCCGUGGGAGGAAUGUGUGGUGUAGCGGUGAAAUGCAUAGAUAUCACACAGAACACCGAUUGCGAAGGCAUCUCACGAAUCCGCGAUUGACGCUGGUGCACGAAAGCGUGGGUAUCAAACAGGAUUAGAUACCCGGGUA